rnacentral:rRNA from 1 species
GACGAACGCUGGCGGCGUGCUUAACACAUGCAAGUCGAACGAUGAACUCGGAGCUUGCUCUGGGGGAUUAGUGGCGAACGGGUGAGUAACACGUGAGUAACCUGCCCUGGACUCUGGGAUAACUUCGAGAAAUCGGAGCUAAUACCGGAUAGGACCUUGCACCGCAUGGUGUGGGGUGGAAAGUUUUUCGGUUUGGGAUGGACUCGCGGCCUAUCAGCUUGUUGGUGAGGUAAUGGCUCACCAAGGCGUCGACGGGUAGCCGGCCUGAGAGGGUGACCGGCCACACUGGGAAUGAGACACGGCCCAGACUCCUACGGGAGGCAGCAGUGGGGAAUAUUGCGCAAUGGGCGGAAGCCUGACGCAGCGACGCCGCGCGGGGGAUGACGGCCUUCGGGUUGUAAACCUCGUUCGGCCUUGACAAAGCUUCAUGGUGUUCUGUGGGGUGAUGGUAGGGGUGGAAGAAGCACCGGCCAACUACGUGCCAGCCGCCGCAGUAAUAC